rnacentral:rRNA from 1 species
AACGAACGCUGGCGGCGUGCCUAACACAUGCAAGUCGUACGAGAAACACGUCCUUCGGGGCGUGGAGUAAAGUGGCGCACGGGUGAGUAACACGUGGGUAACCUGCCCUUGGAACCGGGAUAACUGGCCGAAAGGCCCGCUAAUACCGGAUAAGACUUCAUGAGCUUCGGCUCAUGCGGCCAAAGUCGGCCUCUCGAAGAAGCCGGCGCCUGAGGAUGGGCCCGCGGACCAUUAGCUAGUUGGUGAGGUAACGGCUCACCAAGGCCGAGAUGGUUAGCUGGUCUGAGAGGAUGAUCAGCCACACUGGAACUGAGAUACGGUCCAGACUCCUACGGGAGGCAGCAGUGAGGAAUAUUGCGCAAUGGAGGCAACUCUGACGCAGCAACGCCGCGUGGGUGAAGAAGGCUUUCGGGUUGUAAAGCCCUGUCAGGUGGGAAGAAACCUCAUCUAGUGAAUAGCUAGAGGAACUGACGGUACCACCAAAGGAAGCACCGGCUAACUCCGUGCCAGCAGCCGCGGUAAGACGGAGGGUGCAAGCGUUGUUCGGAAUCACUGGGCGUAAAGCGCGUGUAGGCGGUUCGAUAAGUCGAGUGUGAAAGCCCGAGGCUCAACUUCGGAAGUGCACUCGAAACUGUCGAGCUUGAGUACGGGAGAGGGAAGUGGAAUUCCUGGUGUAGAGGUGAAAUUCGUAGAUAUCAGGAGGAACACCGGUGGCGAAGGCGGCUUCCUGGACCGAUACUGACGCUGAGACGCGAAAGCGUGGGGAGCAAACAGGAUUAGAUACCCUGGUAGUCCACGCCGUAAACUGUGAGCGCUAGGUGUAGCGGGUAUUGACCCCUGCUGUGCCGCAGCUAACGCAUUAAGCGCUCCGCCUGGGGAGUACGGCCGCAAGGUUA